rnacentral:rRNA from 1 species
AUUGAACGCUGGCGGCAGGCCUAACACAUGCAAGUCGAACGAGUGGCGGACGGGUGAGUAAUGUCUGGGAAACUGCCUGAUGGAGGGGGAUAACUACUGGAAACGGUAGCUAAUACCGCAUACCAUCGGAUGUGCCCAGAUGGGAUUAGCUAGUAGGUGGGGUAAAGGCUCACCUAGGCGAGGAUCCCUAGCUGGUCUGAGAGGAUGACCAUCAACACUGUAACUUGGACACGGUCCAGACUCCUACGGGAGGCAGCAGUGGGGAAUAUUUCACAAUUGGCGCAAGCCUGAUGCAGCCAUUCCGCGUGUAUGAAGAAGGCCUUCGGGUUUUAAAGUACUUUCAGCGGGGAGGCGUUACCCGCAGAAGAAGCACCGGCUAACUCCGUGCCAGCAGCCGCGGUAAUAC